UCUCCUACAGAUUCUGAAACCCGUAUUAUUGCAUUCAGAAGACACUGAAUACUUUCUGUCGUCAGCAGAAGUGUGGAGACUUGCAAAUCUUAAAGUCCAUGACUUGAAGCAAAGGGGAUAGCCUGAAGCUUUUCUGCCUUCUGUUGCUUAAACAAAAAACCCCAAACUCUCCAAGUCUGCCAAAUCAGCCGUGGACUGCAGGGUGACAACAAAACGGUUCAAGUGAAUGCAAUGGUCAAAAAGUUUAUUUUAAAGUCACCACCUAUCCUGAGAAAAACAUGGAUAAACACAUCCUGAUAUCAUCCUGUAUUAAAAAAAAAUAUAUUUUCCAAUGUUGAUUUAUCAA